GGUUCUCAGAACCAAGAAGGUCUAUAACACCUGGAGAGAACUAUUCAUUAGCAACCCCAUUCGUCCCAAUGGCAGUUUGUUGACUGGCACAGGAACCCUCACAAGUAUUCAAUCAGCUUUCUGCCAUCUUUUCACAUGACGAUUCUGACGUCAAUUGGUGGCCAUGUGACUUCAGCUUGUCUAGGACCCACCCCAUGAGGAAUAAAACCACUUUUUCUAGAAGACUGAUAUAUCUAGAGAUUUCAUCAAAUGAUUCAACAAAUCUUGAGAGCACUAUGGAGAGAGUUGAACUCUCAAGGGAUGGUGAGAAGCUGUGAAUUUGGAGGAGCAGAUGUGCAAGGACUAAUAUGCGUUAUUGAUGCAUGGGAUUCUCUCUCUGCUGCUCUUCUGUUUUUGCCUCAGACGUCAUGCAUCAACGUCUGAUGCAUAUGACGC